rnacentral:rRNA from 1 species
AUACGGAGGGGGCUAGCGUUGUUCGGAAUUACUGGGCGUAAAGCGCGCGUAGGCGGACCAGUCAGUCAGGGGUGAAAUCCCGGGGCUCAACCCCGGAACUGCCUUUGAUACUGCUGGUCUUGAGUUCGAGAGAGGUGAGUGGAAUUCCGAGUGUAGAGGUGAAAUUCGUAGAUAGUCGGAGGAACACCAGUGGCGAAGGCGGCUCACUGGCUCGAUACUGACGCUGAGGUGCGAAAGCGUGGGGAGCAAACAGGAGUAGAAACCCGAGUAGUCC